rnacentral:lncRNA from 10 species
GAAAUGGAUGCUUAUCUUUUUUUUUUUUUUCAAAGAAAAGACAAAACAAAAUAAAACAACAACAAAAAACUCCCAGUGUGUUUCCUACUCUUCUUUGUCUUGGAGGAAAGCAAAGGGAGAGAAAUGGACUUCACCAGUGGUCUUUGGCUUCAUCAAUUCACAGGAAAUGGCAUCAAGAUGGUUCAACUAAGACAUGAUCACUAAAAACAUUAUAAUAAUACCUUUUUGAAAAACUCAGUUUCUCCUGUUUACUAAAUAUUUAUUUCAUCAACAUGGGCUGCGUUCCACUGUGUCAGGAUUCUGCAUGUGGGUGGAGCACUGUUCCAGCCUGAGAAGAUGGUUCUGAGGCCACUUAGCAAGACAUUUUCCAGCAUGAGCAGGUUUCUCUGUGGAAAUAGUGACACCUGUUCUGGUGUGUUGUCUUUCCUCAGGGAACUUAAGGGGUACAAAGCUCCUGAAAAUGUUCUUUAUGCUGGUUGAAGCUCUUAUGUCGCUGUACUGAUUCCCUACGAUGCAGAUUUGAAUCACAGAGUAAUUAAAAUAUGGAUCAAAUAAGGCUGGGGCUCACCAAGGCUGAAAGCUGUAGCCAUUCAAGGCAUCAUUUCUGUCAUGAAAAUAUAGGACCUUUUCAAAACAUGCCUUCAGGAAGGUGUUCUCUUUUCAAACAAAAGUCUAAUGACUGCAUAACUCUUCUUGACCACAUCUUACACUUUCUCUAGACUUGCUUAUUUACAGCUACUGGAACAAAAAGAUGAAAUGAAUAAAGCACACUGAUUGUCCUAAGAGUCUUCUGUGACUAAAAGCACAUGAGCUUCUCCCCAGGCUGAGCUUUGACCCUCCCAAGCAUUUCCCCAAAGGCCAUGACACUGCAUCAGAUUGCUCCUGGACACUUUCCUCAGAGUUUUCAACAAAUAUAAACUGAGGAGUGGAGCACAGCACCAGAUUUGCUAAUCAAGAGGCAAUGGUCCCAGUCCAAAUGGGUGCUGUGUGUGAAUACAGAGCCCAGGAGAAGGGAAGGAGGUCUGUGAACAUCAGGAAUUGCAAAAUCUUGCUGAACCAAUAGACCAACAGCCAUUAACAUUUGUCAAUGCAAAGAUCCUAAAAUAUACAAGUGUGGAGUUGUCCUGCCCUAAGAGCUGAAGCUGUGACAAUCACGCUGCCAUGGUAGAUAUUUAAGCUCCCCUGAGGUUACUGAAUCUAACAAUGAAUAAACAAUGAAGAGUAGCUAAUUUUUGGAAAUCUCUUUCUAUGACCGGAAAAUAUUCACAAACUCAGAGUGAUUGUUUGGGGUGAAAGAUGGUCCCAUGCCUUGUGGGCCUCUCUUUGCUAUCUAUACAACGUUGGAAAUGAACCCCUCCCUUACAGGAAAGUGAACAGCAACCAAGGUGAGCCCACCCUGGGAGGGCAGAGUGGGUGUACUUUCCUCGAAGAGCCCUGAACACAACAGGGCACACAAACAGCCACAGCACCCUCAACAAUGCCCCACCAUCUGCCCACCAGGGCACACAGAUUCACGCAGAUUCAGUGACACAUUCCAAAAAAAGGGAAUUAAGGAGGACCCAUGGCAUGGCUAAUGGGGAGAGAGCUUUACUACUUUUAGCACCAUUGCUAAUUAUUGGAGCAAAGAAAG